rnacentral:lncRNA from 1 species
CAAAGCCAUUCCCAACUUCCACAGGUCAACAGUACCACGGUCUGGAUCCCACAUGGCAUGCUUCACAUGAAUAUGAGCUUGUGAUCUCCACCAAAAGGUUCCAACGAGCCUUCUUUCCCUAGGUGAUGAGCUACCAUGAUGAUGGCUCUGCCUUUUGACCCAUUGCUUUCAGAGAAAACUUGACCCGCUGUUUUCAAAGGCCAC